GGCUUGAUGAGUAUGAUUUCAAGUCUGACCUGCCCAAUGAUAUUAGUUGAAUGGCUGCGGUAUUUUAACCGUACAAAGGUAGCAUAGUCACUAGUUUUUUAAUUGAAAGCUUGUAUGAAAGGUUUGAUGAAAAAGUUUCUGUCUCUAUUAGAAUUUUAUAGAAUUUUAUUUUUAAGUGAAAAAGCUUAGAUAGAAGUAAAAGACGAGAAGACCCUAUAGAGUUUAAUAAGUUUAAAGUAUAAGUGUUUAUGGUAAUGUAGUUUAUUUAUUUUAUAUUUAUUUGGUUGGGGUGACAGGAAAAUUCAAUGAACUUUUUUUUCUUUGGAACAUUUAUAAAUGAGUGUAAGAUCCUUUUUUUGAGAUAGAAAGAUAAAAUUACCUUAGGGAUAACAGCGUGAUUUUUUAUAGAGUUCUUAUCGAAUAAAAAGAUUGCGACCUCGAUGUUGGAUUAAAAUUAAUUUUUGGUGAAGAAGCUAAUGGAUUAGGUCUGUUCGACCUUUAAAAUUUUACAUGAUCUGAGUUUAAACCGGUGUGAG
rnacentral:rRNA from 1 species